UCUCCGUUGGUGAACCAGCGGAGGGAUCAUUACCUAGUUUUUCUGCCCCCAAACCCCUUUGAACUUAUACGUUUACUGUUGCUUCUACGGUUUAACGCCCCGGAAGGCCCAAAAAGCCGCCAGAACCAGGCGCCUGCCUGGGGACCCAAACUCUUGUAUUUCUUAUUUUUUAUGUCUUAGUGGAAUAAUAACAAAGUUAAUCAAAACUUUCAACAACGGAUCUCUUGGUUCUG
rnacentral:misc_RNA from 1 species